rnacentral:rRNA from 1 species
AUUGAACGCUGGCGGCAUGCCUUACACAUGCAAGUCGAACGGUAGAGUAGCAAUACUUGAGAGUGGCGAACGGGUGAGUAAUAUAUCGGAACGUGCCCAGUCGUGGGGGAUAACGUAGAGAAAUUUACGCUAAUACCGCAUACGAUCUAAGGAUGAAAGCGGGGGAUUCGCAAGAACCUCGCGCGAUUGGAGCGGCUGAUAUCAGAUUAGGUUGUUGGUGAGGUAAAGGCUCACCAAGCCGACGAUCUGUAGCUGGUCUGAGAGGACGACCAGCCACACUGGGACUGAGACACGGCCCAGACUCCUACGGGAGGCAGCAGUGGGGAAUUUUGGGACAAUGGGCGCAAGCCUGAUCCAGCAAUGCCGCGUGCAGGAUGAAGGCCUUCGGGUUGU